GAAAGGCGCUGUUUGAUAAGAAGACAAACCCGUGUCCUGGCAAGUGGAUACCUGUAGCCCGUAUGGACCAGUUUCUUUUAUCAUUUUACCUUGUCUCUCCAUGUAUUGCUCAAUUUGGAUACUGCAGAGAGAACACGAGAGAAACUGUUGUUGAGGAGAUCUGCAAUUUCGAUAUAUCUUUAUAUGUUAUCUCUAGUCUAGUGAUAGUACAAAUCUCAUCUUAAAUGAAGCUUGUUUGACGGUCUGAGUGAAGUCAAUGUAUAUAGCAAUAUAAAGUUUGCUAUAUUGAGAAAAAUAUUUAAAAGCAUUAUGGGAAACAAGUGAAAGAAUGUGGGUAUUAUUAAGUAUGCCGGGGCCGACAUACUUAUUUUGAAUAAGUAUGCCAAUUUUCAGCCCCUGGCGUACUUAAUUUUAAAAACAUCUGUUAAGCUUGUACCCACAUACUUCUCAUGUUGAGCUGUAUGUCAGAUUAGUCAAAAUUAUGGAAUUGUAAUCCUCUGCUCUUAAUCUUCUAGUACUAUUUGGGAUCAAUUUGUUGCAAGCUAGCAAACAUUUACUGUCUACUAUGAUAUAGUAAUAAAUUAUACGCCAUUACUGUGUUGCAGUGCUGCUUUUUUGGGACAUAUUUACUGUACUUGCUAUUAAAUUUAUUGAGAGUGCAUGCCCAAUAGUAGUUUGUUUUUACACCGUACACAAUUUAUUCUUGUUUUAUACGAACGGCAAAUUUGGUGCUGU
rnacentral:lncRNA from 7 species